ACGAACGCUGGCGGCAUGCCUAACACAUGCAAGUCGCACGAGACCUUCGGGUCUAGUGGCGCACGGGUGCGUAACGCGUGGGAACCUGCCCUUAGGUUCGGAAUAACUCCCCGAAAGGGGUGCUAAUACCGGAUAAUGUCUUCGGACCAAAGAUUUAUCGCCUUUGGAUGGGCCCGCGUUGGAUUAGCUAGUUGGUAGGGUAAAAGCCUACCAAGGCGACGAUCCAUAGCUGGUCUGAGAGGAUGAUCAGCCACACUGGGACUGAGACACGGCCCAGACUCCUACGGGAGGCAGCAGUGGGGAAUAUUGGACAAUGGGCGAAAGCCUGAUCCAGCAAUGCCGCGUGAGUGAUGAAGGCCUUAGGGUUGUAAAGCUCUUUUACCCGGGAUGAUAAUGACAGGACCGGGAGAAUAAGCUCCGGCUAACUCCGU
rnacentral:rRNA from 1 species